CGCGAUGCUGCAGGUUUUAAAAAUGUAUAAAAUAUGUCGCAAGUUUUAAAUAUACAUGAUAAGCCGUACUACUUGUAUAUGUGGAAAUCCAAUUACAACCCUAUCUAAAAUAAGAAACAAUGAGUAGAGUUGAAGUUCCUUAAUCAAAUGAGUUUGUUUCUUCACCUUGUUCCUCCUUUCUUCUCAUAUGGACCUGUUUUCAUUUAUCUGUUAGAAAUUGGAAAAAUAGAAGUUAAUGUGAACAAAUGACGGUUGGAUUUAUUAAAAGGAUCCUCUUGCUAAAGAUCAGAACAAUAAAAGGACUAACAGGAUCCUCUUGCUAAAGAUCAGACCAAUAAAAGGACUAAUGGAAAGUUAGAAAAAUGACUUACGCAGUUGAAAACAUUAGGCAUUAUUAACCAAACAUGUAAAGUUUAUAUCAAAUUUUAUAUUAUGUGUGGUUUGAACUAUGGAUGAUAACAAUGAGAUAAUUGAACAUAUUUGUGGUUAAUGGACAGACAGUGUUUCAGAGAAAAGUCUCUCUAUCUUAACAUUCAACACACAAAAUUUUAAAUAUAAAGGAUUUAGCAUAUUUAAACAUGAUAAUUGCAUGAACUCAUUAGGCUUAAAAAAAUGGAUUCAAGUAGAUAGAAUAUUAAAAUUGAGAACAAAACAACAAAGUUGGAGUCAGUCGUUGGAAAAUGAAAGUUGAUUCCAUUGUUCCUCUACGUUCCUAUUAUAAAAAGUAACAACCCUUUUUUAUGACCAGUCCCAAAUUUUAGAUAAUGGACUUUGCUUAUCAAAUUCGUAUAUAUAGAUAACUUGCACGUUGCCAUGGGAAUGUGAAAUAGAUUAUCAGUAUUGUAUAUAACUGUUAGAAUAAUGGAUUAUAUGUGUUAUAAGCUUUGUGCGUAUAUAUGUAAAAACUAUUUACACAAAACAUGUACAACGCAAAAAUGCUGAUUACGAAUACAUGCUUACCUAUAUGACAAACAAAUGUGACGUCAAAUGCGUGAAAAAAGAGAAUCGCAUACUUAUUCCCAAUGUACUCAGAGAGCUUGAUCUGAAAUCCAAAACCAAAUCUUCAAUUUCAAUGAAACAAAGAGCUUAUAGUCAUUUGAAAGAUCUUCUAUAAGAAGCACUUAAACUUUCAAGCGCUUUUGCUAGAAAUGUUUUUACUUUAAACAUGUUUGAAGUUUCUAUCAAGGUCCAAAUGCUCCCUUAAAAAAACAUAGAAGUGCUUCUUGAAGCAUCUGACAUUAACAGAACACAAACUGAAAAAUGAAAAGCAAGUGACUUGUACAUGAAAUUAUGUUCACUCCAAAAACUACACUAUUCAACUUUAAAAUGCAGGAAAAAUGAAUGUUUUGAUACAAAUUUCAAAGAGGAUAAUUAAACUACAAAAACAUAAUUAUAAUGCAUGCAUCCGUACCUGGCAAUCAAGAAGGCAAUCAAGAAGCUGUUGCAAAGCAGGUAAUUGACUUAGUAAAUCUGUGCUAUCAAGACACAAAAAUCAGAGCAUGCUAAACUUUUUUGUGCAUUCAUUGGUUCAUUGUUAAAAAAAAAAAAUUGCAGAGAAGAGAUUUUUUACCUAAUUUUUCAGAAAUGAUGGUGCACCUGCAGCUGCUGCAGUCUUAUUCUGUGGAGUUUUUCAUGUUAUAAUCUCAAGUAGAAUUGACUUACAUACAGUUGUUAUAAAACAACAUUUGUAUAGCACAUAAGAAGAGAAUGCUUUGAAUGAUGAUAUAUUCUUCUCAAUAAGAGGAACUUAUAGGUGUACAACC
rnacentral:lncRNA from 1 species